GCAAGUGUGAAGCGACGGAGGACCAGAAGUAGUGCUCGGAGUAAGAAUAAGGCUUAUUAUCUGAUUACCAGCUCUGCACAGCGGACUUGUAACAGUAGCAGCAGUGGAGAUGGAGCAUCAGAACCUGGAGAAUACAGCAACAACAACAAGGAUCCAUUUGAAGAUAGCUGCAAGAACCUCCAUCUGUGCCUGCACCCAGGUCAAGAUCUACCGUGGCU